AAAAGCAGGUUAUAUCAUACUUUUUGAGAUCAUGAAAAAUGUGAAUCUGGAUUAGAUAGUAUACACUCUUCUUGACACAGUUAUAUACUUGUUCUAUCAUCACAGGAACAAGAGUAAACUUUUCGAAAGUUUACAAAGCACACGAGCAUUUGUGACACACUACAAGAAAAGGAGGAAAAACAGACUACAUGUUACAUGAUGUAACACAACGUAUUCAAAAAUACUGAUCCGAUUUGAUCGUCUGUUGCAGAAGGAAAGAGUUUACCAACAGCAUAACGUGUGUGUAGCAUGUAGACCCCGUGUAUUCAGAACGAUCAUAGUACCACUGCUCAUGUAAUAAAAAAUCGAAGCUCCUGAUACCUACAAAACCCCUGCCUGCAGAAAUGCAUUUUGCAUAGAUCCGCGCUGGAUGACUAGCUCAUGUCUUGUCUCUCUAUAUCUAGUGUGUCCUGAGGUUCGGGGAAAAUCUCACUCGAUGAUCUCUUACACGAUGAUGAAUGCUCGUUCCCGCUGCUAAUAGAAUGAGAUAAUCCUACUCUUCCUGACUGUUUCAGGUUCAUGCCAGCUUCUUUGCUUGUUUGGCCACUAGCAUUGAUACUAUCCUGUGAGCUAAGAUUCCAACUACCAAGAAAAGCAGCACUCCAUGAUCGCCUCGAUGAAGUAUUUCGUAGCCUUAUAGAGUUGAAACUUCCUUCCCUAACAACCUUGAACGGGUUCUCAAGAGCUUUCAAGACUCGUCUCAUUUCAGGACGUCUAGAAGGCCUCGGAUGAAGACAUGCUUUGGCUACUAUUGCUACAGACCACAUCUCUUCAAGUAAGUCGUCGUCUAUAAUUAAAGAUGGAUCGACUAUCUUUGACACUAGUUCUUUAUCGCGUAUAGUGAUGAAAGGAAGAAGCUUUUCCAACCACUCCUUCGUUGAGACAUCAUCUAAGUGACUUGCGCCUACCUUACCAGUUACAAGCUCGAGUAAGACCUUACCGAAACAGUAUACAUCAUAUGUACUGCAACUUGUAAAUGAAGUUCCAGCAGGCUCUCCCUCAGGAUUCUUUGUUGUGCGGAAAAACUUUGUGAUCAAAUUCUGGCUAUCACCUUCCUGUGCACACACGUCGCUCAAACUUCCCAGCCUUACUUCAAAUUUAUCGUCGAGAAGGAUACUGCUAGCUUGAACAUCUCUAUGAACAAGAGGAGGAUUACACUCAUGAUGCAAAUAAACUAAGCCUUCUGCAACUCCUGUUGCAAUUUUUAAUCUUGUUAUCCAAUCCAAAGACUGUUCGUUUUCGUCUUCUAAAUCCGUAUCCCGGGACAACAAAUUGAACAAAUCUCCAUUUGGCAUAUAUU
rnacentral:misc_RNA from 1 species